UGGGGAAUCUUGCGCAAUGGGCGAAAGCCUGACGCAGCGACGCCGCGUGGAGGAUGAAGGUCUUAGGGCUGUAAACUUCUGUUAGGUGGGAAGAAAAGCGCAGUUCUAAUAAAACUGCGAAAUGACGGUACCAUCAAAGAAAGCACCGGCUAACUUCGUGCCAGCAGCCGCGGUAAUACGAAGGGUGCAAGCGUUAUUCGGAUUGAUUGGGCGUAAAGGGUGCGCAGACGGCAUGUUAAGUCAACUGUUAAAUUUCCCGGCUUAACCGGGAGCAAGCGGUAGAAACUGGCAAGCUAGAGGGUGGAAGAGAGAAGUGGAAUUCUCGGAGUAGCGGUAAAAUGCGUAGAUCUCGAGGGGAACACCGAUGGCGAAGGCAGCUUCUUGGUCCAUUUCUGACGUUCAUGCACGAAAGCGUGGGGAGCAAACAGG
rnacentral:rRNA from 1 species